rnacentral:rRNA from 1 species
UACGUAGGGGGCUAGCGUUGUCCGGAAUCAUUGGGCGUAAAGAGCGUGUAGGCGGCCCGGUAAGUCCGCUGUGAAAGUCGGGGGCUCAACCCUCGAAUGCCGGUGGAUACUGUUGGGCUAGAGUGCGGAAGAGGCGAGUGGAAUUCCUGGUGUAGCGGUGAAAUGCGCAGAUAUCAGGAGGAACACCGGUGGCGAAGGCGGGUCUCUGGGCCGUAACUGACGCUGAGGAGCGAAAGCGUGGGGAGCAAACAGG